rnacentral:rRNA from 1 species
UACGUAGGUGGCAAGCGUUGUCCGGAAUUAUUGGGCGUAAAGAGCUCGUAGGUGGUUCGGUAAGUCAGGUGUGAAACCUCCAGGCUCAACCUGGAGACGCCACUUGAUACUGCUGUGACUGGAGUCCGGUAGGGGAGCGUGGAAUUCCUGGUGUAGCGGUGAAAUGCGCAGAUAUCAGGAGGAACACCAGCGGCGAAGGCGGCGCUCUGGGCCGGUACUGACACUGAGGAGCGAAAGCGUGGGUAGCAAACAGG